CUGAUUGAUGAAAUAUCGGCCAUUGGUGAUGGAUCCAACCUGCAGCCCCUCCUCCCGAGGCCAGGGGGUAGGGCCGACAGCUCCCCAAGUAACCACGUGGGCGGUCCCGCUGUAGCCCCUCCUCCCGAGGUCAGAGGGUGGGGCCAAUAGCCACGCUCCUGUGAACACGUGGGCGGUCUCCCUGCAGCCCCUCCUCCCGAGGUCAGGGGGUGGGGCUGACAGCCCCGCCCCUGUGACCACGUGGGCGGUCUCCGUGGCAACCAGCCCCCACCCCCAGGUGCUUUUCCAAACUCCUGUUAGCACUAGAGACACCUUUCUGCUCCUCCACUUAGGAAACCCCGAGGGUUUGGGAGCUGUGCCGGGAGCGCGCCUGGAGACCAGAUCUGUCUUACUAGAAACCAGAGUCCCAGGGUCCAUUAUGGAAUCGCUGAGAAGUCUAAGGAUGGCGUCCCCGCGUGCACGUGUUUCCCGGGCGUAACCAGGCAGGUCUGUAGUGAUCCCGAGGUCUACACUAGCAUCUCGCUGGUGGCUCAUGGCGCUGGACGUCCUUCACAUGCUUAUCUGCUGUCUGUCCAUCCUCCUCAGUGAGGGGUCUCUGGGCUUAUACCCGCGUUCUGAUCACGUUGUUUCUCGGUCAAGAUGUUUUCGGAUUUCCCUUGAGAGUUCCUCUUGGACCCACGAAUUACGGGCUGCUUCAUUUCCAGGCGUUUGGGAAUUCUCCCGUUACCGGGAGGAAGCAUGGCACGCUUUCUUCUGGCUCUGUGAUUUCACAUCCCAGGAUGCGGUCUCCUCGGGUUCCGUGGUCCCAGUACCUAUGGUCAGUCUGCUUUUUCCCCCCACCAUUCAGCCUCUGGCACCUGUUCCACACAGACCGCCAGGUGUGCAGUCUCACCUUGUGGGAGGAACGGGGAAAACAACAUCUAGUCCAUGCAAGGAUGACAGCGCCACCCUCUAGAUGCGGAUCUAAAGCAAAUCCUCUCGUGUGUCCACACAGUGGCAUUUGGCUCUAAGUGACACAGAAGCAGGCAUUAAGUUGCCUGGCAGAUCCCACCCCGACAUGGCACACUGGUCCCAAACGGGGCACUGUUGUACCUGCAGAUGAGGAAACAGGCUCAGAGGGGCGCUGAGUCAGAGGCAUGGUUCUUCCAUGAAAGGACUCAAAUCCAAGCCCCCUGAGACCAUCCCUGUGCUUUCCCAGCACUGACACGAAGUCACUCCUGGUCUAGCUGAGGAAAGUGAAAACCGAAUCCUGUCUACUCUAACACCCUGGAUCAAAAGCCCCUGGCUGGGGAGUGAGGCGGACCUGGACCUGCUGUGUGGCUCAGGGGGAUGCGCUUCACCUCUCUGUGUAGGUUCCUCACCUGUGAGUAGGACGGCCCCGUCACGUGACCACAACGUGAGAGAAAUCACACUGGGAAGAACACAGAGCCAACGUGGACUACGCAUGAGCUAGUACAGUCACCACGGAGCCACCCGCGGUCCAGGGAAGCCACCCACCACCCAGGGGAGUCACCCGCCGCCCAGAAUGAGGGACCAACUGCGUCAGGACAGCCGGACGAAAACUCCAGAAGACUCACAGGUGUUCUUAGGAUGAAAUACACUCCCUGUAACGCGUUCGCUUCUUGUAUCUGAAAUCAAAGCCCUACGUCUCCCACGGGGACAUUUACACAGGGAAGGCACUAGGACGACACGCUGGCUACGCUGAUGCUGAAUGUGCGCUGGCUGCGUGGGGCCGUGGGCCACACUGGCCCCACCCACACCGUUCCCCUCUCCGGGCCUUUCUCAAGUUCCGGAAGGGUUGAUACUCCACACAGGGACCCCAGAGGCCAAGUCAGGGGCUGCUGCUCAACCUGAAGGUUCUUUCCGGCAUUUUCUGUCCUCGGGCUGAUCAUCCGCAGCCCCCGGCCGCCACCAGCACGUCUCCAACAAAGCUGGUCCCGAUACACCGACAUCAGCCCUCGGUCGUGGUGGGCUGGUGGGGGAGGAGGUGGGAACGAAGUCCCUGUGUUUGCCACCAUCUACAUCGUCCCAGUACAGAACAGACUUCUCCGCAUGACGCUUACAGAACACACACGUGCACCAGCACCGCGCACCCUCUCCCUACUCCGCGCUUUACUCCCACCUGCUAGGAAAGGGGGCAGUGUGACCGCGGGGCUCUGCGCGGACAGAGACACAGUAUGGUCCUGGAGCCACAGGGGACUUGGGGAGAAGGACAGCCCUUCCUCUAAAGGACGCACAGAUCUGGUUUUCUCUAGGAAAGGAAGGACGGGGCACCGGCUGUCGUCACGACAACCACUGCUGGGGAAGGAGGCGGGAAUUACAUGCUCUCCCAAAAACUGUGCGAGACGACCAUUCAGGGAGCCUUCUUCCACAGGAGAAAACCAGCAAAAGGAAUCCACACUCACAGAGAAGAAAGAUUUUCAAAUGCGCCUGGGGGGCUCAAUCCAUUGAGCGUCUCGUUUCAGCUCAGGUCAUGAUCUCAUUGUUUGUGGGUUCGAGCCCCGCAUCGGGCUCUGUACUGGCAGCCU